rnacentral:rRNA from 1 species
CGGGACGGGUGAGUAAUGUCUGGGAAACUGCCCGAUGGAGGGAGAUAACUACUGGAAACGGUAGCUAAUACCGCAUAACGUCGCAAGACCAAAGAGGGGACCUUCGGGCCUCUUGCCAUCGGAUGUGCCCAGAUGGGAUUAGCUAGUAGGUGGGGUAACGGCUCACCUAGGCGACGAUCCCUAGCUGGUCUGAGAGGAUGACCAGCCACACUGGAACUGAGACACGGUCCAG